rnacentral:rRNA from 1 species
AUUGAACGCUGGCGGCAGGCCUAACACAUGCAAGUCGAGCGGAUGAAGGGAGCUUGCUCCUGGAUUCAGCGGCGGACGGGUGAGUAAUGCCUAGGAAUCUGCCUGGUAGUGGGGGAUAACGUCCGGAAACGGGCGCUAAUACCGCAUACGUCCUGAGGGAGAAAGUGGGGGAUCUUCGGACCUCACGCUAUCAGAUGAGCCUAGGUCUGAUUAGCUAGUUGGUGGGGUAAAGGCCUACCAAGGCGACGAUCCGUAACUGGUCUGAGAGGAUGAUCAGUCACACUGGAACUGAGACACGGUCCAGACUCCUACGGGAGGCAGCAGUGGGGAAUAUUGGACAAUGGGCGAAAGCCUGAUCCAGCCAUGCCACGUGUGUGAAGAAGGUCUUCGGAUUGUAAGCACUUUAAGUUGGGAGGAAGGGCAGUAAGUUAAUACCUUGCUGUUUUGACGUUACCAACAGAAUAAGCACCGGCUAACUUCGUG